CACUCCUACGGGAGGCAGCAGUGGGGAAUAUUGCACAAUGGGCGGAAGCCUGAUGCAGCAACGCCGCGUGCGGGAUGACGGCCUUCGGGUUGUAAACCGCUUUCGCCUGUGACGAAGCGUGAGUGACGGUAAUGGGUAAAGAAGCACCGGCUAACUACGUGCCAGCAGCCGCGGUGAUACGUAGGGUGCGAGCGUUGUCCGGAUUUAUUGGGCGUAAAGGGCUCGUAGGUGGUUGAUCGCGUCGGAAGUGUAAUCUUGGGGCUUAACCCUGAGCGUGCUUUCGAUACGGGUUGACUUGAGGAAGGUAGGGGAGAAUGGAAUUCCUGGUGGAGCGGUGGAAUGCGCAGAUAUCAGGAGGAACACCAGUGGCGAAGGCGGUUCUCUGGGCCUUUCCUGACGCUGAGGAGCGAAAGCGUGGGGAGCGAACAGGCUUAGAUACCCGUGUAGUCCCAUG
rnacentral:rRNA from 1 species